UACGGCCACAUCACGUUAACACCGGUUCCCGUACGAUCACCUAUGUUAAGAAGCGUUGGUCAGUACCUAGAAGGGUGACCGUUUGGGAAUACCAGGUGCUAU